rnacentral:lncRNA from 10 species
UUAGCCAGGAUGGUCUCGAUCUCCUGACCUCAUGAUCUACUGCCUCGGCCUCCCAAAGUGCUGGGAUUGCAGGUGUGAGCCACUGCACCCGGUCAACGCACACAUUCUUUUGACUCAGAGAUGAUUUCCUCUUCAGAAAACAGAAGAAUUUUCUGACACAUUUAUCCAGAUUGGAUGAUAUGGAGAUGAACACCAGGACUAUUUUAGAAACUGCAUGUUGAAGACCACUGAGAUAUAAAACUUAGAAAAAAAAAGGUUCUGAAUCAAUGCCUUGUGAAGACAGUUGCACAGGGUACCACCAGGCUGAAAUCCAGGUGUUCACCAGGACUUUUCUUCACCUGGAGGCCCAGCUGGAGAAGAAUCUGCUUCCAAGCUCCAUCAGACUGUUAGAAAAUUAACUUCCUGUGGCUAUAGGAUUCAUGGCACGUUGCUUCUUCAAAGCCAGCAAUGGAAAGAGUCUUCUGCUCCAAGAAUGACAUGUAGUCACUCAGAAAGGGAUCAUAUGACUAGCUUUCAGUACUGUUACCAUAUGCGAGUGUUCAUGGGAACAGCCAUGCCUGGAUAAACCAGAUAAACUGAGGAAUCAAAAGGCAUAUUCAGACCAAGACUAAAGAGAACCUUCUUCACCUCCUCCAUACUUCUUCAAUAAGACCACUCAGGACACCUUAACUGCCUUGCUGCCUUUCUGGAAGAGAACAAUCCAAUAAUGAGAACAUCCUUGAGGAUCACAGAGUCCAGAGUCCCUAGAGAGAGGGAGAGCAAUCAUGUCUUCUAGACGGCAAGUUACUUACACAUAUGUCUAGGUAUCUCCAACAUAAAGAGAUUUGAGUCCAUGGAAGGAUGUUGAAUCCAUGGUCCAAAGACUCUGGAUAGGAGCAGUGCCAAGCGAGCUGCUCACUUUGGAAUUGCCUCCUGGUUCUCCUGGAUUUAGCCUGUGCUCUGUGAUUGG